UACGAAGGGGGCUAGCGUUGCUCGGAAUUACUGGGCGUAAAGGGCGUGUAGGCGGAUAGUUAAGUUAGUGGUGAAAGCCCAGGGCUCAACCUUGGAACGGCCAUUGAUACUGGCUAUCUUGAGUACGGGAGAGGUGUGUGGAACUCCGAGUGUAGAGGUGAAAUUCGUAGAUAUUCGGAAGAACACCAGUGGCGAAGGCGACACACUGGCCCGUUACUGACGCUGAAACGCGAAAGCGUGGGGAGCAAACAGG
rnacentral:rRNA from 1 species